CCCACCCCAACCUGGCAUGGCUUAGAUAUCGGUCACUAUUUGACUUUAAAAAUACAAGAUAAAGAGGGACGGGGAGGGAGAGGACAAGAUCUAGAAGCAACAAUGUUUUGUACACACAGCAGGUUGUCGGGUGCCCCCACACUGGUGAGUCAGCCUGAUCCUUGCCCUGGGGGAGGGAAGAAAAAGCCCCAUUUAUCAAUCUCCACCCGCUGCGGGCACCACUCCCGGCCACUUACAAACCUUAUCACGUCGGAUCCCCACCACACAUUUGGGAGCUGGUGAGGAAGCAACUCUGAGCAGAAGUUGACAGAAGAGGAAAGAGAGGCCCAGAGAAGAGCAGGCAGGUGCUAAGGAGGCCAGCCUCCACUCUGGCGGGCAUAGAGGUCCGGGACUGGCCUGCCUCCCUCUGCAGGAGACCCUGGGCCUGGGAUGUGCCCUGUCUGUUCCUGUUUCCUCUGCCUGACCUGGAUCUGACCCGACGCUCACCUACUGCCCAAAUCCUGCACCUGGCUGGUGGAGUAGCUAAGGCUGGGCUUAUAAUAGCCCUUUUCUGGGUACCUUUGGACUCAUGAGUGCCGGGAGCCGGGCCAGUAGGUCCAAGGGCCCACGACCUGAUCCUACUCCCUCGAGAAGCUCUUAGAGCCCCCAUGGCACCUGGGGUAGGCAACCAUGCCCCAGCCACAGAGGGAAACUGAGGACCUCUGACUUUAGCCCGGAGGGGAAGUCAGAGAUCUCUUAGGUUAUCUUCAGGACGGCAGAAGAAAUGAAACCAAUGUAAUUCUACUUCUGGGGCCCCUGGGUGGCUCAGUUAAGCAUCUGACUCUGGAUUUCGGCUCAGAUCGUGAUCUCACCGUUCAUGGGAUCAAGCCCUGUGUCAAGCCCCACGCUGAAAGCAAGGAUCCUGCUUGGGAUUCUCUCUCCUCCUCUCUCUGCCCCUCCCCCACUUGUGCACACGCACAUGUGCUCUCUCUCUCUGUC